UGCAGUGUGGCAUAGUGGUAAGGAGCUGGGCUAGCAACCAAAAGGUUGCAGGUUCAAUUCCCUGCUGGGGCAG